rnacentral:rRNA from 1 species
GUGGGGAAUAUUGGACAAUGGGCGAAAGCCUGAUCCAGCCAUGCCGCGUGUGUGAAGAAGGUCUUCGGAUUGUAAAGCACUUUAAGUUGGGAGGAAGGGCAGUAAGUUAAUACCUUGCUGUUUUGACGUUACCGACAGAAUAAGCACCGGCUAACUUCGUGCCAGCAGCCGCGGUAAUACGAAGGGUGCAAGCGUUAAUCGGAAUUACUGGGAGUAAAGCGCGCGUAGGUGGUUUUGUAAGUUGGAGGUGAAAUCCCCGGGCUCAACCUGGGAACUGCCUCCAAAACUGCAUGACUAGAGUACGGUAGAGGGUAGUGGAAUUUCCUGUGUAGCGGUGAAAUGCGUAGAUAUAGGAAGGAACACCAGUGGCGAAGGCGACUACCUGGACUGAUACUGACACUGAGGUGCGAAAGCGUGGGGAGCAAACAGGAUUAGAUACCCGUGUAGUCC